rnacentral:rRNA from 1 species
UACGUAGGGUGCGAGCGUUAAUCGGAAUGACUGGGCGUAAAGGGCGCGUAGGCGGCAUGGCAAGUCAGGAGUGAAAGGCCUGGGCUCAACCGAGGAACUGCUUUUGAUACUGCCAAGCUAGAGUGCGGAAGGGGCAACUGGAAUUCCCAGUGUAGCGGUGAAAUGCGUAGAUAUUGGGAAGAACACCUGAGGCGAAGGCGGGUUGCUGGGCCGACACUGACGCUGAGGCGCGAAAGCCAGGGGAGCAAAGCGGG